UCCUGCCGUCUAAUCCUGCCUCA
rnacentral:misc_RNA from 1 species